rnacentral:rRNA from 1 species
UACGUAGGGUGCAAGCGUUGUCCGGAAUUAUUGGGCGUAAAGAGCUCGUAGGCGGUCUGUCGCGUCUGCUGUGAAAACUCGGGGCUUAACUCCGGGCCUGCAGUGGGUACGGGCAGACUAGAGUGCGGUAGGGGAGACUGGAAUUCCUGGUGUAGCGGUGAAAUGCGCAGAUAUCAGGAAGAACACCGGUGGCGAAGGCGGCUCUCUGGGCCUUACCUGACGCUGAGGAGCGAAAGCGUGGGUAGCGAACAGG